rnacentral:rRNA from 1 species
CCUACGGGAGGCAGCAGUGGGAAUAUUGGGCAAUGGGCGCAAGCCUGACCCAGCAACGCCGCGUGAAGGAAGAAGGCUUUCGGGUUGUAAACUUCUUUUGUCAGGGAAGAGCAGAAGACGGUACCUGUCGAAUAAGCCACGGCUAACUACGUGCCAGCAGCCGCGGUAAUACGUAGGUGGCAAGCGUUGUCCGGAUGUACUGGGUGUAAAGGGCGUGUAGCCGGGCUGACAAGUCAGAUGUGAAAUCCGGUGGCUCAACCACCGAACUGCAGUUGAAACUGUUGGUCUUGAGUGUCGGAGAGGCAGGCGGAAUUCGUAGUGUAGCGGUGAAAUGCGUAGAUAUUAGGAGGAACACCAGUGGCGAAGGCGGCCUGCUGGACGACAACUGACGGUGAGGCGCGAAAGCGUGGGGAGCAAACAGGAUUAGAUACCCCAGUAGUC